CCAACAUCAUAUACAAUCUAUUUUCCAGAAUGCUCAUUUGGAGUUUGUAGAAAAUUUGAAUGUUAAAGAGCAAGUUGUUGCUGGAAUCAUGUACUAUAUAACACUUGCGGCAACUGAUGAUGCUGGAAAGAAGAAAAUAUACAAAAAGGUUUUGAACGUGAAGCAACAAAUAGUUGCUGGAAUAAUGUACUAUAUAACACUUGCGGCAAUUGAUGCUGGAAAGAAGAAAAUAUAUGAAGCUAAGAUUUGGGUGAAAGAAUGGGAGGACUUCAAGAAAGUUGUAGAAUUCAAGCUUGUUGGUGAUGAUAUUGCAAAACUUGGGGGCAUUACUGAUGUUCCAUUCCCAAAUAACCCCGAGUUCCAAGAUCUUGCUCGUUUUGCUAUUCAAGUUUAUAAUAAGAAAGAGGUUAAUUCAAAUGGCUUACUCCUCUUUUAUUUUUCGCUAGUUUCACCUUCAAACAUAUAAUAUUCAAAUUCUGAAUCCGCUACAGUUUCUAAUAAUUCUUUCAUUUGAAUGAACGUCAUAUACAAUCUAUUUUUCAGAAUGUUCAUUUGGAGUUUGUAGAAAAUUUGAACGUUAAACAACAAGUUGUUGCUGGAAUGAUGUACUAUAUAACACUUGCGGCAAUUGAUGCUGGAAAGAAGAAAAUAUAUGAAACUAAGAUUUGGGUGAAAGAAUGGGAGGACUUCAAGAAAGUUGUAGAAUUCAAGCUUGUUGGUGAUGAUAGUACAAUGCCUGGGGGCAUUGUCAAUGUUCCAAACCCAAACAACACCAAGUUAGUUCCAAGAUCUUGCUCGUUUUGCUGUUCAGGAUUAUAACAAUACACAGGUCAAUUAUAUAUAAUGACUUACUUUUAGUUUCUUAAUGAUGUACUAUAUAACACUUGCGGCAACUGAUGCCGGGAAUAAGAAAGAAUAUGAAGCCAAGAUUUGGGUGAAGGAAUGGGAGGACUUCAAGAAAGUUAUAGACUUCAAGCUUGUUGGUAAUGAUAGUGAGAAAAAACUUGGGGGCUUUACCGAAGUUCCAUUCCCAAACAGCCCCGAGUUUCAAGAUCUUACACGUUUUGCUGUUCACCAAUAUAAUAAGGACCAGGUUAUUUAUAAUGACUUACUCAUCUUCUAUUUUUUUUUCUAGUUAAUUUCACAUUCAACCCUAUAAUAUACAAAUUCAUAAUCCACUACUGUAUCUAGUAUAUAAUUCUUUCAUUUGAACGAGCGUCAUAUACAAUCAAUUUUUUCAGAAUGCUCAUCUGGAGUUUGUAGAAAAUUUGAAUGUGAAAAAACAAGUUGUUGCUGGAAUGUUGUACUACAUAACAUUUGCGGCAACAGAUGGUGGAAAGAAAAAAAUAUAUGAAACUAAGAUUUGGGUUAAGGUAUGGGAGAACUUCAAGAAAGUUGUUGAAUUCAAGCUUGUUGGUGAUGAUAGUGCAAAGCCUGGGGGAAUUAUCAAUGUUCCAUUCCCAAACAGCCCCGAAUUCCAAGAUCUUGCUCGUUUUGCUGUUCAAGAUUAUAAUAAGAAAGAGGUUAAUUAAAAUGACUUACUCCUUUUUAAUUUUUUCAUUAGUUUCACAUUCAAAUCUGUAAUAUUCAAAUUCUAAAACUACUAUAGUAACUAAUAAUUCUUUCGUUUGAACGAACGUCAUAUACAUUUUUCAGAAAGCUCAUUUGGAGUUUGUAGAAAAUUUGAAUGUUAAGGAACAAGUUGUUGCUGGAAUGAUGUACUAUAUAACACUUGUGGCAACUGAUGAUGCUGGAAAGGAGAAAAUAUAUGAAGCUAAAAUUUGGGUUAAGGAAUGGGAGAACUUCAAGAAAGUCAUAGAAUUCAAGCUUUUUAUUGGUGAUGAUGUCCCAAUACUCGGGGGCAUUAUCAAUGUUCAAGGCAUAAACAGCCUUGUGUUCCAAGAUCUUGCUCGUUUUGCUGUUCAGGAUCAUAAUAAGAAAGAGGUUAAUUAUAAUAACUUACUCAUUAUUAAUUUUUUUUUUAAUUUUACAUUCAAACUUAUAAUAUUCAAAUCCUGAAUCUACUGCAGUAUCUAAUAACUCUUUCAUUUGAAUGAACGUCAUAUACAAUCUAUUUUUCAGAAGGCUCAUUUGGAGUUUGUAGAAGUUUUGAAUGUGAAGGAACAAGUUGUUGCGGGAAUGAUGUACUAUAUAACACUUGCGGCAACUGAUGCUGGAAAGAAGAAAAUAUAUGAAGCUAAGAUUUGGGUGAAAGAAUGGGAGGACUUCAAGAAAGUUGUAGAGUUCAAGCUUGUUGGUGAUGAUAGUGCAAAGCUUGGGGGCAUUAUCAUUGUUCCAUUCCCAAUCAGCUUUGAAAUCCAAGAUCUUGCUCGUUUUGCUGUUCAAGAUUAUAAUAAGAAAGAGGUCAAUUCAAAUGAUUUAUUCCUCUAUUAUUUUUAUGUUAGUUUCACAUUCAAACCUAUAAUAUUUAAAUCUUGAAUUUACUGCAGUAUCUAAUAAUUCUUUCAUUUGAACGAAUGUCGUAUACUCUAUUUUUCAGAAUGCUCAUUUGGAGUUUGUAGAAGUUUUGAAUGUGAAAGAACAAGUUGUUGCUGGAAUGAUGUACUAUAUAACACUUGUUGCAACUGAUGAUGGAUAUAAGAAAAUAUACAAGACCAAGAUUUGGGUGAAGGAAUGGGAGAAUUUCAAGGAAGUUCAGGAAUUCAAGCAAAUUGUUUAUGCCACAAAAUGAAAUAAAACUACUCUUAUGCUGGUGUGAA
rnacentral:lncRNA from 1 species